GGCGGGGCUGGGGCCGCGGGAUGCCGGCGGUGCGGCAGGGAGCACUGGCGGCGCUGGCGCUGCUGGGCCCGGCGGGACGGGGCCGUCCCUACGCGGUGCUGCAGAAACAGAACCUGGUGCUGCUCGGCAGCAUCCUCAGCGCGCUGCUGCUCACCAUCAUCCUCAUGGCCAUCUGCGUCUACAAGCCCGUGCGGCGGCGGUAGCGGCGCCAGAGCCAGGCCCGGGGCUGGGGCUGUCCUUGGAAGCACUGCUCAUGCCCCCCCUGUUCUCCUGCCUGGAACCCAGCCCUGCUGCAUCUCCUGCCAGCCACAGGAUGCCCUGAUGGCUCCAUCACCACCAGCAUGGCCGGGUGCAGGAAGUCACAGCAGGCAGACUCUGGAGCUCCCGCAGUGAACCUGGCUGGGUUUGAGCAGCGUUGCAGUGAGGCUGAUCCAUCAGGAUGUGCUGGAGUGAUCGGUGCCCGGAACCAGGAGAGCACAGCCAGCUGCUCACAGCGUACUGAGUUCCACCACAUGUAGCUUUGUGUUCACAUUAACUUGGUUCCUCGCUUGAAUAUUGAAUCUUGAGGAUGGGACAGGGCUUGGAGCAAGCUGCUGUAGUGGGAGGUGUCCCUGCCCAUGGCAGGGGUUGGAACUGGAUGGGCUUUAAGGUCCCUUCAACCCAAACUAUUCCAUGACUGUAGUUUGGCAGCUGGGGCGUCUGGUCCAUGUUUCCCUCCUGGUGUAGCCACUCUGGGACAGGCUUGUCAUGCCCCAUGGUAUUUGCUUUAACUCUUGGCUAAACAGCCCCAACCCACCUUGCACCAAAUGUCCAUGCCCAGCCUGUCAAGAGCUGGGAUGCAGCUGAGGGUUUCCACUGAGGGAUCCAGCUCCUGCAGGUUCCUUUUGGGGAAGCUCCAGCCAGCCCUGUCCCAUCAGUAAGAGAUUCAGGUGUUUACACUGGAAUCCCACUUGGUAUGAAUGCUGCUGUUUUGUUUGCACUGCUCAGAGUAGUAACUGGAUUUUGCUUUUUGAGUAUACGUGUUAUUUAACAUAGGGGUGUCUGCCUAGUAAUUUAUUUAGUGUUUUAAAACUUCCCUUCCAGAAUGACUGUGUUGACUGCUCCCUAAAACCUUGUGCUGCAUCCAAUGUGUUCUGUUCAGGACACUGCCUGCUGGCACUCAGGGCCAGGCUGGAUGUGGUUCUGAGCAACCUGGUCUAGUUGAGGACGUUCCUGCUUGCUGCAGGGGGGUUGGACUAGACGAGCUUUGAAGGGCCCUUCCAACCCAAACUACUCCAUGAUUGCAAUGGGGAAUUUGCUUUGCUCAUGCUCUAUUAAUCAAAUAACAGUAGGAGGCUGGUCUAGAACAGAUCCAGGUAUUCACUGAAGGGAAACAUGGAUGAGGAAGCAAAGUAAUGCUGCCUGCUGCUUUCUGAUCCCUUUCUUUCUGAGUCCUCACUGCUGAUUCCUCUCAGUCCUCAGCGGCUGUUCCUGCAGGUGGAUGCAGCUCACAGCUCCAGCUUGGCAUUCCCUGGAGCAGCAUGCUGGUUUGCAUUCAUCCCUCACUCCCUGCCAUGUCUCUUUGUACAAAUAAAAAGCUGAGUAAACAGCC